rnacentral:rRNA from 1 species
AGAACUUUGAAGAGAGAGUUCAAUAGUACGUGAAACCGUUCAGGGGUAAACCUGAGAAACCCAAAAGAUCGAAUGGGGAGAUUCAUCGUCAGCCGGCUUGGCUUCCGUGCGGUUCGCGAUGAUCGGGGCUUCGGCUCUCGCGUCACGCAAUCGCUGCGGUAUGUCCGAGUCGCGCCGGCGUGCACUUCUUCCCUAGUAGGACGUCGCGAUUCGUUGGGUGUCGGUUUACGGACCGGUAGGUAGCCUGGCGAGUAUUGCGUUCACGCGUAUUUACUUGCCAGACCUCCGGAUUUUCCCAACCGGCUGCCCGGCGAUAUAAAACGAUAAUCCAAUGGCAUUGAGCCGCGUUGAACGCGUUUACGGCUCGUCGGCAGAUUCGUCUCGCUCGGAUUUACGGACCCAGUGCCGUGUUCGGGUGCUUGACGGGUCGUUCGCCGGCGAUGUCCUCGAACAGGCUCUAAAUAUUCUUAUAGAAUAUGCCGAUCGGCGACGCUACUGCUUUGGGUACUUUCAGGACCCGUCUUG